rnacentral:rRNA from 1 species
GCCAUGGCGGCCGCGGGAAUUCGAUUAGAGUUUGAUCAUGGCUCAGAUUGAACGCUGGCGGCAUGCCUAACACAUGCGAGUCGAACGGCAGCACAGUAAAGAUUUCGGUCUUUAUGGGGUGGCGAGUGGCGGACGGGUGAGUAACACGUAGGAAUCUGUCCUGGAGCGUGGGAUAACCCGAGGAAACUCGGGCUAAUACCACAUGAUAUCGAGAGAUCAAAAGCAGGGGACCGAAAGGCCUUGCGCUCUGGGGUGAGCCUACGUCGGAUUAGCUAGUUGGUGGGGUAAAAGCCUACCAAGGCGACGAUCCGUAACUGGUCUGAGAGGAUGAUCAGUCACACUGGAACUGAGACACGGCCCAGACUCCUACGGGAGGCAGCAGUGGGGAAUCUUGGACAAUGGGGGAAACCCUGAUCCAGCGAUGCCGCGUGUGUGAAGAAGGCCUUCGGGUUGUAAAGCACUUUAGGUGGGGAAGAAAGGUAACGAGCGAAUAACUCGUUGCUAUGACGGUACCCGCAGAAUAAGCACCGGCUAACUCUGUGCCAGCAGCCGCGGUAAUACGAAUCACUAGUGAAUUCGCGGCCGCCUGCAGGUCGACCAUAUGGGAGAGCUCCCA